CCUGUGCUGCCUUUCUUUGGCAAAGACUUGGCUCAGUUGAUUAAGAGUCUACUGAGACGCUGUGUCAAGAGAGAGGUCCUGCAAGACAUCACUCCCCUUCAACUCACCAAGCUGGAUCUGGCUGAUAAGAACUUGUUCCUCCUCCCACAGAGGAUCGACAUUGGUUUGGGUGCUGAGGCAGCUCUCAAGGGGAGGCCAUUGUCCAACAAUUUGAAUCUUUCCUGUCCGUUGAGGCAAGGAAUGAAGAAUUUCUCGACUUCCAGCCAUUUGAGAAACGCCUAGACACCUUCCUGCAUGGGAGAUUAAGCCGGCCUUACCCAGCUGCUUGGGAUUUUUGCCAGAAGUUGCUGCUGCUUUCACAUGGCCAGGCCUCUGUUGAAAGGGGCUUUCCUGUCAACAAGGAGGUGGAGUCUGAGAACAUGCAAGAGGACACAAUUGUCACACACAGGCUCAUAUGUGACUAUGUUGCAAUGCAUGGGGGUGUCACACAGGUUCCCCUCACCAAGGAACUCAUGGCAGCUGUAGGUGCUGCCCGGUCAAAAUACAGACUCUUUCUGGACCAGGAGCGAACCAGAAAAGAAAAGGCAUCCCAGAGCCAGAAAAGAAAGCAAACUGAGGAAUCUUUGGAGGACCUUAAGAAAAGAAAAACAAGCUUGGAGGAGGUGUCUGUCUGUCUUGCCAGGGAUGCAGAUGCCCUUGCAGAAGAAGCCGAGGGCAAGGCUGGCUCCAAAAUGGCUCAGCUUCUCUCAAAGUCAAAUGCCCUGAGACGGGCGUACAAAGAAAAACUUGCCCAACUCAAAAGUGUUGAAACUGAGAUUGAUGCUAAGAGGGAUGAACUGAGACGAAUGUAGGGUGAUGUUGUAUGUAGAUGCAGUGUGGUAAAGUUACUUUGUUAAGACACUGGUUAAGAAGAUAACUGUUUAAAUAUUUUCAGUUUUAUUAUUGAAUUAAUUAAAUUUGUUUUGUUUAAUGUAAUCUUCGAUAAGUAAACAAAUAAGAAAAGUUUUGAAUUUCUGGGAUCAUUUACAUGUUUCUGGAUGCGUCGUGUUGGUCUAAAAUUUCAUUCACAAUGGCCUUAAAAGGUCUUGAAAAGGUCUUAAAUUUAACUUAC